rnacentral:rRNA from 1 species
UACGUAGGUGGCAAGCGUUGUCCGGCAUUAUUGGGCGUAAAGCGCGCGCAGGCGGUUAUGUAAGUGUGAUGGUAAAGCCCGGGGCUCAACCUCGGUUCGCAUUGGAAACUGUGUAACUUGAGUGCAGAAGAGGAAAGUGGUAUUCCACGUGUAGCGGUGAAAUGCGUAGAUAUGUGGAGGAACACCAGUGGCGAAGGCGACUUUCUGGUCUGUAACUGACGCUGAGGCGCGAAAGCGUGGGGAGCAAACAGG